AGUUUCCAGGGAGAGAAAGGAAGGCUCUCCUAAUGCACGAUGGAAUUGCCUACGGUGGCCUCUCUGUUUCUAUGAGUGUAACAUCA
ensembl:snoRNA